rnacentral:rRNA from 1 species
GACGAACGCUGACGGUGUGCUUUAGACAUGCAAGUCGAACGAGAAAGCCCUUCGGGUUAGUAAAGUGGCGAACGGGUGAGUAACACGUGGGCAAUCUGCCCCUCGCAGGGGGACGAACCGGAGGAAACCCCGGCUAAUACCCCGUAACGUUCAAAGGGAGGCAUCUCCCCUUGAAGAAAGGUAGCUUCGGCCAUCCGGCGAGGGAUGAGCCCGCGGUGCAUUAGCUAGUUGGUGGGGUAACGGCCCACCAAGGCGACGAUGCAUAGCUGGUCUGAGAGGAUGAUCAGCCACACUGGGACUGAGACACGGCCCAGACUCCGUACGGGAGGCAGCAGUCGGGAAUCUUGCGCAAUGGGCGAAAGCCUGACGCAGCAACACCGUGUGUGUGAGGAA